AAAUAAGAGAGUCUUUAUUUGAAAGUGACAUGUGUACAUAGAAAAUCCAAAAGAACAUAUAAACUAUUAGGAUUAAAUAAUUUCAUCAAUAUAUCUGAAUACAAGGUGAGUAUACAAAAAUUAACUCUAUUGCUGUAUAACAACAAACACACAGCAAAUGAAAUGUAAAAAGUACCAUUAAUAUGAGCAUUGAAAAAAUCAAAACCUAGAACUUACAAAAUAUGUACAAAGCAUUUCAUUGAAAACUACAAAACAUUACUGAAAUUUUUCUAAAAAUUCUAAAUAAAUGGAAGGAUACACAAUAUUCACAAAGAGUAAAGAUGUCAGUCAUCUCUCCCAAACUGAUCUAUAUAGAUCUUUAAGUUCAACACGAUCCCAAUCGAAAGCCCCAAGGUUUAACUUAUUAGGUGGACAAUGACAAGCCGAAUCUAAAAUUUACAUUGAAAUAAAAAGAACCAAGUACAGCUAAAGCAAUUUUCAAGAACAAAGCUAGAGGACAGAGUGGUAUUGGUGAAAAGAUAAAAAAAAUUGAACAAUGGAACAGAAUAGAGUUCAAAAAGAAACCACACAUCUGAUUUAGACAUCUGACUUAUCUGCCUCAUGACAAAGGUGCCUCAGUACAGUGGGAAUGAAUUUGAUUUUCAAUAAAUGUUGCCAGGUCAGUUGGAGAGCCAUAUGAAAAAAAAAUCUUAUCUCCUACUUCGAACUUCUCCCAAAAUCUAUACAAGAUGGAUUGCAGGUUGAAAUAUGAAAGGUAAAACAAUAAAGCUUUUAGAAGAAAACAUAGGAGACCCUCUUAGUCAGCUUGGAGGAGGCAAAGAUUUCUGAAAUAGGACACAAAAGGUGCUAAUCAGAAAGGAAACAAUUGAUAAAAUGGACUGUAUUUACAAGUUAAUUUUAUGUGCCAACUUGACUAGAUCACAGGAUGCACAGAUAUCUGAUUAAACAUUAUUUCUGAGUGUGUCUGUGAAGCUGUUUCUAGAAGAGAUUAGCAUUUGAACUGGCAGACUAAGUAAAGCAGAUUGCCCUUCCCAAUGUGAGUGGGCAUCAUCCAAUCCAUUGAGGGCCUGAAUAGAACAAGAAAAGGUGGAGGAAGGGGCUGUCCCAGUGGUGUAGUGGUUAAGUUCGUGCACUCCGCAUUGGUGGCCCAGGGCUCAUGGGUUUGGAUCCCAGGCUCAGACCUAGCACUGCUCAUCAAGCCAUGCUGUGAUGGCAUCCCACACAUAAAACAGAAGAAGACUGGCACAGAUGUUAGCUCAGGGCCCAUCUUCCUCACCAAAAAAAAAAAAAAAAAAAAAAAUAGGCAGAGGAAGAGAGGAUUCACUGGCUCUCUGCCUGACUGCUGAGCUGGGACAUCAAUCUUCCCCUGCCCUCAG
rnacentral:lncRNA from 1 species